UAAGGAAUAUUCCACAAUGGGCGCAAGCCUGAUGGAGCGACGCCGCGUGCGGGACGAAGCCUUUCGGGGUGUAAACCGCUUUUGUAGGGGAUGACACUCUGGAGCAAUCCAGAUACGACAGUACCCUACGAAUAAGCAUCGGCUAACUACGUGCCAGCAGCCGCGGUAAUACGUAGGAUGCAAGCGUUGUCCGGAUUUACUGGGCGUAAAGCGCGCGCAGGCGGCAGGUUAAGUAAGGUGUGAAAUCUCCCUGCUCAACGGGGAGGGUGCACUUUAGACUGACCAGCUAGAGGGCGGUAGAGGGUGGUGGAAUUGCUGGUGUAGCGGUGAAAUGCGUAGAGAUCAGCAGGAACACCCGUGGCGAAGGCGGCCACCUGGGCCGUACCUGACGCUGAGGCGCGAAGGCUAGGGGAGCGAACGG
rnacentral:rRNA from 1 species